CCUACGGGAGGCUGCAGUGAGGAAUAUUGGUCAAUGGACGAGAGUCUGAACCAGCCAAGUAGCGUGAAGGAUGACUGCCCUAUGGGUUGUAAACUUCUUUUAUAUGGGAAUAAAAUGUUCCACGUGUGGGAUUUUGUAUGUACCAUAUGAAUAAGGAUCGGCUAACUCCGUGCCAGCAGCCGCGGUAAUACGGAGGAUCCGAGCGUUAUCCGGAUUUAUUGGGUUUAAAGGGAGCGUAGGUGGAUUGUUAAGUCAGUUGUGAAAGUUUGCGGCUCAACCGUAAAAUUGCAGUUGAAACUGGCAGUCUUGAGUACAGUAGAGGUGGGCGGAAUUCGUGGUGUAGCGGUGAAAUGCUUAGAUAUCACGAAGAACUACGAUUGCGAAGGCAGUUCACUGGACUGCAACUGACACUGAGGCUCGAAAGUGUGGGUAUCAAACAGGAUUAGAUACCCGAGUAGUC
rnacentral:rRNA from 1 species